GGAGAGAUGGCUGAGUGGUCGAAAGCACCGGUCUUGAAAACCGGCAGUCGUUUGUAGCGGCUCUAGGGUUCAAAUCCCUAUCUCUCCACCA
rnacentral:tRNA from 1 species